UAAUACGAACUGUGCAAACGUUAUUCGGAAUCACUGGGCUUACAGGGUGCGUAGGCGGCUUGUUAAGCAGGGUGUGAAAUCCCUCGGCUCAACCGAGGAAUUGCGCCCUGAACUGGCGAGCUGGAGUGGGACAGAGGUGCGCGGAACUUCCAGUGGAGCGGUGAAAUGUGUUGAUAUUGGAAGGAACGCCGGAGGCGAAAGCGGCGCACUGGGUCUUAACUGACGCUGAGGCACGAAAGCCAGGGGAGCAAACGGG
rnacentral:rRNA from 1 species